rnacentral:rRNA from 1 species
UACGUAGGUGGCAAGCGUUGUCCGGAAUCACUGGGCGUAAAGGGUGCGUAGGCGGGUCUUUAAGUCAGGGGUGAAAUCCUGGAGCUCAACUCCAGAACUGCCUUUGAUACUGAGGAUCUUGAGUUCGGGAGAGGUGAGUGGAACUGCGAGUGUAGAGGUGAAAUUCGUAGAUAUUCGCAAGAACACCAGUGGCGAAGGCGGCUCACUGGCCCGAUACUGACGCUGAGGCACGAAAGCGUGGGGAGCAAACAGG